GUCUGGGGUGCCACGUGGCUGAGAUGAUACCCAUUGAACCUGACCUGGUUAAGACCAGCGGAGGAAGAUUCGG
rnacentral:ncRNA from 1 species